rnacentral:rRNA from 1 species
UGCAGAGGGGGCAAGCGUUAUUCGGAAUUAUUGGGCGUAAAGGGCGCGUAGGCGGCUUUGCAAGUGACGGGUGAAAGCCCUCGGCUUAACCGAGGAACUGCCUGUCAGACUGUGAGGCUUGAGACCGGGAGAGGUGAGUGGAAUUCCCAGUGUAGCGGUGAAAUGCGUAGAUAUUGGGAGGAACACCAGUGGCGAAGGCGGCUCACUGGACCGGAACUGACGCUGAGGCGCGAAAGCGUGGGGAGCAAACAGG